CAAGCGAGAAUACCCGCUGAAUUUAAGCAUAUAAUUAAGCGGUGGAAAAGAAACCAAAUGGGAUUCCCUGAGUAACGGCGAGUGAAAGGGGAUUAGUCCAGCGCCAAGUCUUGACGUUUAGGCGUUCAAGAGAUGCGGCGUUAAUGUGUUGGCGCAUCAUGUGUUGCCGUAUGUUUCAAGUUCCUUUGACAGGGACAUCCAGAGCGGGUGCUAGGCCCAUAGAGACACUCGGCUGAUACAUGCAGGCCAAUGCAUUCUAGAGUCAGGUUGCUUGAGAGUGCAGCUUAAAGUCGGUGGUAAACUCCAUCCAAGACUAAAUAUCACAGCGAGACCGAUAGCAAACAAGUACCGUGAGGGAAAGUUGCAAAGCACUUUGAAGAGAGAGUUAAAUAGCACGUGAAACCACUGGGAGGCAAACAGAUGGAACCACGAA
rnacentral:rRNA from 1 species